ACGAGGCAAUCUCCAUUAGAGUUCACCAGACAGCUUCUUCUCCAUGCUCCAGUGUUUGCUGGUAAAUAAACCAAACCCGAAUCGCUCUCUUCCACGCAGCUUGAUCCGAAAAAGAAAAUUUCCGUGUGUUUAUUGAACAGUAAAGCAGUGGAUUUUUGCAUAAGUUAGAGUUUAAUGGCACUCAUUCUGUACAUAUACAACUCUUCUCUUUCCACACCCAAAAAAUAAGAUCCUCUCAAUCACACUAACCACAAAACUUCACAGACCUUUGCUUCAGGGGUUGAACAAUUUU
rnacentral:lncRNA from 1 species